GGAAACAAACAAAUAAACACUAGGAAAAGAUGGUUCUUGAUACUCCUAAAAGAUCAACAAAAGGAUAUGCAACGAAACUCCAAAAAUCAAGGCAAUUCCUAAAUCAAUUAAAUAUGUGUGCGGGAGGAGGACGCACAGAGAAGCCAGUAUCGUGACUUCAAUUUACAAUAGUACAAACUGCAGCCCUAAAAGCACACUGGGGAAGGUUUAUAACAAGUUCAUCUCUCUUUUUACAUGCUUUGGUUUCGAUUCUUCCAUCUCUUCCUAG
rnacentral:lncRNA from 1 species